UUUGAUACAGCUCGCCCUAAUGAAAAAAAAAAUUCUCACUUGAGUGUUCGCCCUAGCCGUCAAAAAAUUUUCGUUUGGCCGGCGAUUGGUGGCUUCCACAUCAUCGUUGUCGGCCCUGCUCCCUUGCGGAUCUACUCCCCGGUGGUUCCGUCUCGCUUCUUCGAUCUAGUCUUAGAGGUCUCAAGUUCCCAAUCUGGUUUGUUUGUCUUGACAAUCUGGCUCAUUGGCUUUGUUCUCGUUGGAUUGGGAGUGGUGGUGUCUUGUUGUUUUUUCGGUUGUUGUGGAGGUGGAUUUGAAAAGUUUUAUUCUUGGAACCUGUCGGCUUUGCGGUGGUGCUGCUUCGUUUAAGGCUUGUACUUAGUCAGAUUUCUGUUUCCACGGCUUGGCUUUGAAAACCCAUAUGGUUCUGCGAUUACGUUGCUUUGUUGUCGGGUUCUUCCUCUGUGGUGGUGUUAAGUGACUUCUAAGGUUUGUGUUUUGUUUAUCCGACUGUUAAGCUAAAUCUGAUUUUCUCUUGGCUUUGGUUCAGCUUCGGUGUGAAGUCCUUUCGCUGGGAGAACAUAAAAGGUUAUCAUUCUUUCAAUGAAGAAAAUGUUCUCAGGGCCUUGUUACCUCGCCCAGUAGGUGAAGAUCCCUUCCUCCCCGCAUCCUUAAAUGAUUUUUUCAAUGGAGCAUUUCAGCAGCUAUAGCUUCGUGUUGUCAGCCUUGGCUGAAGCACGUCAUUGGAGUUAUUGGGUUGAGUUUCAAUUGAAGAUAUAGCGGUAUAGAAGGGGAUGGUUUCUUCAUUUUUAGCUGGUGCUCUUCUUCUCUGUUCUACAAUUUCCUUGUUAAUCUUGUUUGGCUACAGCUUUAAUCCUUCGCUCUCUUGAGUGUAUUGGUGUUUGUCUGUUCUCUGAGCUUUCUUCAUCUGCGGAUGAAGAACUCAUGCGUCGGUGUGCCUACUUCAAGUUUCUCUCCCGACUGCCUUAGUUUUUAGAGUUGAAUCUUAUUAGCUUUUGCA